rnacentral:rRNA from 1 species
GGCGCGCUUACACAUGCAAGUCGCACGAGAAAGGGAGCAAUCCUGAGUAAAGUGGCGUACGGGUGAGUAACACGUGGAUCAUCUACCUCUUGGUGGGGAAUACCCCCGGGAAACUGGGGACAAUUCCGCAUAAGUUCGUGAGAAGAAAGCCGAAAGGCGCCGGGAGAGGAGUCCGCGGCUGAUUAGCUUGUUGGCGGGGUAAUGGCCCACCAAGGCGAAGAUCGGUAGCCGGCCUGAGAGGGCACACGGCCACACUGGCACUGAAACACGGGCCAGACUCCUACGGGAGGCAGCAGUGGGGAAUCUUGCACAAUGGGGGAAACCCUGAUGCAGCGACGCCGCGUGAGCGAUGAAGCCCUUCGGGGUGUAAAGCUCUUUCGACGGGAACGAUAAUGACGGUACCCGAAGAAGAAGCUGCGGCUAACUACGUGCCAGCAGCCGCGGUAAUACGUAGGCAGCAAGCGUUGUUCGGAAUUACUGGGCGUAAAGAGUGUGUAGGCGGUGCUCUAAGUUCGGUGUGAAAUCUCCCGGCUCAACUGGGAGGGUGCGCCGGAAACUGGAGUGCUCGAGGUUGGGAGAGGAAAGCGGAAUUCCCGGUGUAGCGGUGAAAUGC